GGAUCGAGUUCCCUGGGCUGUACAACAGGACCUCAGUGCUUAUCCAUUCUAAAUGGGAUAGUUUGCAUCUACUAACCCCAAACUUCCAGGCUAUCCCCCUCCCUCCCCUCUCCCCCUUGGCAGCCACAAAUCUGUUUUCUCUGUCUGGGAGCUCUGCUCCAAAGCAGUUCCAUGUUUAUAACUUCCCCUGGCUUUGCUCUAUUACCCUGAGCUUUGUCUUUCUUCGUUGUUACACCUCAUGUAUUCCUAUGUGCUCUGUUGGUGGAAGAGCAGUCCAUACCCCUGACAAAUAAUUUGGUAUGUUCUGAUGAGGAAAUUAAGGGCUUCCGACAGAGAGUAAAUGCUAAUUGCCUUUCACUGAUGACAUUCUAAGCCUUUGUUUCCCUCUGAUAAUGUUCACUUGUUCACUGUUAUAAAGUCCGGCAAAUUCAUAAAAUUUUCCUGGUGAACAUAAAAUUAUUCAGAGCCCCAUCACUCAGAGAUAAGUACCAUAAACAUGUUGGUAUAGUUUUGAAACCACUUCCUACACACUCACAUCUGCCCUGUAGUUGAUAUUGUAACGAGAGCACUAAAUCAGAUCUGUCUUCUCUUUGUGCUUAUAUGAAAAAUCGUGCAGGCAUUUGAAUUGUGCAUAUGUACCACACAACACGGUCUAAGACUGUGAAAUCCUUCCCUAAGUAAGGUUAUUUUGGAAGAGGCAAGGAAGAGGGCUGGAAUGGGUACCUGAAUUGCAGCACGGCCCUGUAACUCUUCUUGGAAGCUAGGCCCUGUGGUUUUAAGGUGUAAGAGCGGUCAGGAGUACCAGAUAAACUACCAGAGUGAUGUUAUCUGGUGACAAAUAAUGACUUGGAAGAAAGAACUAGAUAAGAAUGCUGUAUCUACCCUACCAUGUUUUCCAAAGUGAAAAAUUCCUAAUUUAUUAUCCUACCUACUAAAGACCCGGGUUGUUUGUUUGUUUGUUUGUUUUUUAAUUGUGUGUGAUUUAUUACAAAAAUGUAAUUCAGUCAAACAAGCUUUAAAUGGCUAAUUGGGCUAAUGUGUUAUUCUGUGAAUUACUGAAGAACUUACAACACUGUCAGGAUUUCAGUCCUUAGAACUUAAGAUUUCCAGAGGAUAGAAAAGAUAAAAAUCAAGCCACAACUGCUCCAGUAAUUAGCAUGCAAACACAACGUGCCUGAGUAGGAGGCAUCUUAGGGGAACAAAGGGAAAGUAACAGAUUUCUAGAAUGAAGAGUAUUGAUACACUGGUCAUUUUAAUUCACAGAGCUGGCAUCUGGUUUGGGUUGAGUGAGAAGGUAGAACAUGAAGAUUCUGUUUAAAACAGAAAUUGCUGGGGAGUUCCCAUUAUGGUGCAGGGGACACGAAUCCCACUAGUAUCCAUGAGGACGUGGGUUCGAUCCCUGGCCCUGCUCAGUGGGUUGGGGAUCAGGUGUUGCUGUGAGCUGUGGUGUAGGUUGCGGAUGUGGCUCGGAUCCCACAUUGCUGUAGCCUGGAAACUUCCAUACGCCAUGGGUGUGGCCUGAAAAAGAAAAA
rnacentral:lncRNA from 1 species